GUAUUAGGCGGGAGGGCUUCGGCUCGACUCUCCCACCCUUUGUGAACGUACCUCUGUUGCUUUGGCGGCUUCGGCCGAAAAGGACCUUCAAACUCCAGUCAGUAAACGCAGACGUCUGAUAAACAAGUUAAUAAACUAAAACUUUCAACAACGGAUCUCUUGGUUCUGGCAUCGAUGAAGAACGCAGCGAAAUGCGAUAAGUAAUGUGAAUUGCAGAAUUCAGUGAAUCAUCGAAUCUUUGAACGCACAUUGCGCCCCUUGGUAUUCCGGGGGGCAUGCCUGUUCGAGCGUCAUUACAACCCUCAAGCUCUGCUUGGAAUUGGGCACCGUCCUCACUGCGGACGCGCCUCAAAGACCUCGGCGGUGGCUGUUCAGCCCUCAAGCGUAGUAGAAUACACCUCGCUUUGGAGCGGUUGGCGUCGCCCGCCGGACGAACCUUCUGAACUUUUCUCAAGGUUGACCUCGGAUCAGGUAGGGAUACCCGCUGAACUUAAGCAUAUCAAUAAGCGGAGGAA
rnacentral:rRNA from 1 species